rnacentral:rRNA from 1 species
UAAGACGAAGGAUGCAAGCGUUAUCCGGAUUCAUUGGGUUUAAAGGGAGCGUAGGUGGCCUUAUAAGUCAGUGGUGAAAUCUCUCGGCUUAACCGAGAAAUUGCCAUUGAUACUGUAGGGCUUGAGUACAGUUGCUGUGGGCGGAAUAUGACAUGUAGUGGUGAAAUACAUAGAGAUGUCAUAGAACACCGAUUGCGAAGGCAGCUCACAAAACUGUAACUGACACUGAGGCUCGAAAGUGCGGGGAUCAAACAGGAUUAGAUACCCUGGUAGUCCGCACUGUAAACGAUGAUUACUCGCUGCUAGAGGGCAACUUUUAGUGGCUUAGCGAAAGCGAUAAGUAAUCCACCUGGGGAGUACGCCGGCAACGGUG